rnacentral:lncRNA from 1 species
AACCCGGCAAAGUCAAUCCAUGCUUUAUUAUUAUAGGAAAAUUGCCCGUGCGUUGCAACGGAAGAAAUACAAGCCUCCUAGCGACACAGAUCCUCCUAGUGACCCAUUCCUAUUGCCACUUCUCCUCUUCGCCACCAUCGCCAAUUGUGGUCAGAUUGUCCAGCUAUUCAUGAUGAACAUGAUCAAUCCCAAGGUCAUAAGCUUGAUCAUCAUAUACUCCAGCAUGCCGCCUAGCAAGCCCCUUUUCAACUCACUAAAAAACAUAGCAUGAAGGCCAACUGAGUAAACAUAAUAAAUUUGUGCUAAAAUUUUAUUAAGCAUACAUGUUAAAUAUAGCAGUUGAAACAUACACGGCAUCUCUGGACCUUGCUUCAUGUCUUUAAGCACCAACAGUUCAGAGCAAUUUUAAAAUCAACAGAAAGUAGAAUUAACCAAAUCAUAUUUCAUCAAUUCAGCACCUGGUACAAAUUAUCUUCUCCAUUCAAUGCCAAUUGUAUUGCAAUGUAAAACUUCAUCAAAGUUUAAUUUACUCCAAUAGGAAAAAAACUAUGGUAGUGCACAUGUUACCUUGUGCAUUAUGGAUUAAAAUGAACCAACUAUGUCACGGUCCUGAUCCACAUUAGUGAGUGAGUGUGAUGUGUCAUUACAAUAUGCAAGUACACUCAAGCGUGUACAUUGAGUGUUGUAGGCCGCUUUCAGUAAGAAAAAAGAGCAGGUCUUGCUGAUAUAAAAGAAGCCCAACCUUCAUUAUCUACUUCAUUAGUAUAGAGGAAAUGCAAGAACAUGAGUUAUUGCUUCAAGCGGCUUAAUCAACAUGAGGAAAAUAUGACCACAAGCUAUGCAUUGUGUUCUUAUCUCCAUGCUCUCCCUUGCCCUUUCAGAUAUUUCAAGUCACGUAGUUGUGUCCGUUGACAGGCUCACACCAAUAAAUUUUCAAAACAUGUUUAUGUUGAAAUAACAAAUAUUUCAAAUCAAAAUAAUCGAUAGAAUAGAAAAAAUGUUUACAAAUUUAUUGUUCCAUGUCAACUCCCUGUUUCUCAAUUAAGUACCGGUUCAAUUGUGUAAAGUUGAUCUUUGGAAUUAUUUGUAAUUAUAAGAAUUAAAUAAAUGAGAAACUUUUUUAGGGCUGUCAUUUAAAAUGUAAAUACCCUAAGACAAAAGAACUUACACCAAAGUUCAGUGGAGCGCAAUUGAAAAAUUAGUGAAAUUACUUUUUAUUUGUGCUAGGUUGAUUGUCAUAGAUCAUCAUCUGAUUCAGCUAGCCGAUGAAUGGUUUGUUUUAUAAGGUCAAAUUAUUUAUACAGACGUUGAAGUGUAUAGUACUCCAGAAGUUUUUGUAUGUUAAUUAAACAUGCACAGAAGGUCCCCGAUGGCUCAUAGUCACACUAAUCUACACGGACUGGAAACUGAAUCACCAUGGAUAACAUAACAUCUCCAGGCAAAACCAGAGGAUCUCGAUCUAUUUCCCUACCGGCUAACAUCUCAAAGAGUGAGCUUAUGGCAGAAAAGACGGCAAAAAGGAAGUGUACCAUCAUGAAGUAAUACAUGAGUUAUGUCAGCAGUCCAUGGCAGUUUUGCAUCACGUUCGUCUUGCUGUCUAAGUGAGAAAACUGACAGAAGAACUUAACAUACACGGGCAAUGUGGUUCCUAAAUUAUUUGCAUAGGAAAUUUGACAUAAAUUACAUCAUACGAGUAAAAUUUAUCAGAUUCCAAAUCGUGCAUUCAAUGAACCAGAGAACACAUCAUGGCUUCAAGGAAUUGAGUUACAGUGUGAUGUAAUCAGGAAUAAACAUAGAAAAGCCCGCAUUUGUACUACUUGAAAAAAAUUAACAACUACACUUGACCCUGUGUAUGUUCAAUUGCUAUUUUUCUGGAAACAGGUGUACAAAUCAUAUUACAAUGUCAAGUGCAUCAUUUACCUUUAGAAUAGCAACAAUGUCCUCUCUGUAGUUGUUCUGUAAAUAGCGACAGAAAAUACACUACGAUGACAAUUGCCACAAUGCAAUCGACUCAUGCCCAAACACCUGUCAUGUAUAAACAUACAAAACAUGACAGACUGCCACAACUGAAUGCUUGCCAAUUCCUCAGAUUACUGCAGGCAACUGAAGGAUACACAAAGUCACAAAUAGUCUUCGGUCUUAGUGCAGAUGGAGGUACAUCCUUAAUUUAUUUUCUCAAUGCAUCAAUGCUGACUUCCAAUAAUAUAAAAAAUAAAAUACGUAGCACAUUUUUGUAAAAGUAUGGAAAACAAAAACCUAGGGUAAUGACGAUGGAAGCUAUGGUUGCAGGAACACAGUGAAAGAUCAUGGUGAAGAAUAAAGCCCAGACGGAACUCAUGCCUUUUUCAGAUUUCAGUUUCAAAUAAAUUGUAAAUCAUAAAAGGCUUGCUACUUCAAGGCUGCUCAUGCUCCGACCAUGUUGCAUUUAGCUUGGCAUGUGAUCCCCAGCGUACCUAAGGAUGUGCGGUUGGCGUUCUGGGAACGAUUAUUAUUAUUAUUAUUAUUAUUAUUAUUAUUAUUAUUAUUAUUAUUAUUAUUAUUAUUAUUAUUAUUAUUACUACUACUACUACUACUACUAGCAAAAGAGCCCGUGCGUUGCAAUGGGACACAAAUUUUAACUUAUUAAUUCCUCUAGAAAGGAUGAACGGGUUAACUCUGCAUCCUUUGAAUAGUAAUGCUUAAUUUGUGUGAUGCUUGAAUUGGAUGGUGAACAACAAAAACUCACCUCAUCUCUCAUUUUUCCUAAUGUCUAUCCUCUGCUAGCUUCAUGAAGAUGACCUCUUUGAAUACUCUACAUAGUACCUGUAGAAAGCAAAUAAUAUGAUUAGUUUUGGAGAACAAUAGUUGGGUAAAUAAAAUAUGAUGCUAUUCUUUUCAUUACAGAGUGAUGUGCCAGUGGAAAGUACCCAUAUGCAUGUCUUCACUCUUAACAAUCUCAUGCCACGAUUGCAUUCGCAAUCUAGGGAGAACUUUUCUCAGAUAAUGGGAAAAGAUCAAACUCUCAGAUAAGAUUUAUUUUUCUCUCUGAUGAAUUUUUUGUAAUAACGAAAAAACUAUCAUAAGAUCUCUUUUCCUGGUCUGAUCAAUUUUUGUAAUAAUGAAGCAACUAUCAACUAUUGGAUGAAAUGAAUUACCCAAAAAUAUAGGGAGAAUUAUUUGAGUGAAGCUAUAAGAAAUGAAUAAAAUCAUCCAGUAAGUUAGUCCACAUGAAAUCAAUGAACAUACUUCUCAUGUCGCUGGCAGAUUACCUUUGAUAAACUAUAAGCAAAUAGUUAUAGUUUUCUUGUCAAGAAAGGCAAACAAAAUCCAUCAGAAGACGUUAACUUACCAUGGAAUUGUAUGUUUGUGUAUCUUGUCGACAGAAGGUCUUAGCAACUGUCAAGUUUGGCAACUAAGCAGUGCCAAGUAAUUUACUUCAUAAUUAUGCACUCUGACAGGUAGCAAUAGUAAGGUAUUCCAGCGUUAUUCCCUUUUGAAUAUAACGUUGUCGCCAUCCCUUCCAUCCGUCCUCUGAUCUCCCUCUCCCUGGUGAUCAACAUUAUUAGAAUUCAGAAUAGGACCAACAGUUUCUUACUUUACUGAACCCGAAAAACCAUCGAGCGACCAGAGGCACAGCCACACACGCACACACGCGGAUUCCAUCGCCAUCAAUUUUCUUGAAUGGAUAGAUAGAUAGUACACUACAUCAUCCAAUACUAAAAAGUAUUAGUUGUCUUCCGCUCUUCCUUGUUGAAGCCUUGUCUGAAGUACAUCUAGCCCCCAUCAACUCAAAGGGAAACAAAAGAAGAAUUCAAAAUUGCGAUUGCUGCUAUCGAUCACAGUCAUGGCUCUUCACAAGCUUCUGUCGGCCUCCGUGCAGCCGCCCUGUAGAGCUACUCCACCGCGGCUGCGCACUUCGACGGCGGCGCAGCGAGGGCAAAGGCCAAGUCGGUUGGCUACCUCGGCUGCUGGGAUGAUCGGGCUAUUGUUGGCGCUGGGGCUGCACACGGCGCGCCAACAGCUCGCAAAACAUCCGCCUCGACAAGCUCAAGUUGAGAUCGUGGGCUCGUGGCCGAGGUAGCGGACCUUGACCUCGCCCUCCAUGACACCGAGCGUUUUCAUGGCAGCUCCAUGUUCCAGAUGGUCGCCCACGUCCGGGACGAUCGCUCUCUCGCCGGAUCUUGGUAUGGUGGCGGCGAUGGAUCCGUGGAGGUUGGAUUUUUCUGUAGGGUGGGAGAUGAGAGAAGAACGUGCGUGUUGACCGACUUAGGAGCGGAGGACGUGUUCGGAUCUGUCUUGUUUUGGGCCUCUGAUUCGUCUUCUAAUCGGUCUCUUCGUUCGAUUUGUUUGUUGGGCCGAACAUGUUGAAGCCCAAUAUGCUGUAGGUCGCUUGUGUUCGAUCUGAGCGGACGGAAUUUCGAUGGUAAGAAGCAAUAGUAUCACCUCGGAUGUAGAAAAUAAUAUAGGUGAAAAAAACUGAAAACGUAAAUUCAUGGGAAGAAGCGUAUUGUGACGGUGAACCCGACAAAGUCAAUCCGUGCUUUAUUAUUAGGAAGAGAUAAGCAAAAGGGCCCGUGCGUUGCAUCGAAAAAAAAAUUCAUAAUCUUCAAUGGCCAUGACUAUAUUUUGUUGCAUCACCGAGAUAAACUAUCACUCUCAAUUUCAUGAAAUGAUGAACAUUUUUCAAAACUUCUGCACAUACCUAAAAUCGAGAACAAUUUUCAAAUCCGUGAACAUUUUUACAAAUUUUUGAAUAUUUUCUAAAAUCAAGAACAUUAUCUAAAUUUAUUAAUAUACAAUUUGCAAACAUUUUUUUAAAAUAGUAAAUAUUUUUCAAACAAUUUUUUGAAUCGGCGAAUAUUUCUAGAAAUGAAAAAUAUUAUUUUGGAAAUUGGUGGCACAAUUUUUGAAAUCCACAAACAUUUUUUUAUCUAGCAAAAGGGCCCGUGCAUUGCAAGGGGAAAAAAAUCAUGAACAUUUUGCUGCAUCAGCGAGAUACAUUAUUGCUCUCAUUUUCGUGAAAUCAUAAUCAAUUUUUUAAAAUCAUGAACUUUUUUUAAACUCGUGAACAUAUCUGACAUCAUGAACAUUUUAUAAUUUGUGAACAUUUUUACCGAUUUUCGAACAUUUUCUAAAAUCAAGAACAUUUCAUACUAUUUGCAAACAUUUUUCUUAAUUGUGAACAUUUUUAAAUACUUUUUUGUUGAAUAGGCAAACAUUUCUAGAAUCGAAGAACGUUCUUUUGGAAUUGUUUGGUGGAACUAUUUUUGAAAUUCACGGACACUUUUUUGAUUUAACAAACUUUUUUAAUGCAUUGUCAUUUUUUGAAUCAGCAAACAUUUUAUGAAUCAAUAAACUAUUUUGUAAAUUAUAAAUAGUUAUUGUAAAUUAUGCACACAAGGUAAUAUUUUUUGAGCUGGCAAAAUUUUGUUCAAUUGCAUUAAUUUUUUGAAUACAUGAACUUUUUAAAAAAACAUGAACAUUUUUUUAUUUCUCGAACAUUUUUUUGAAAAUUGUGAAUAUUUUGAGUGCGCGAACAUUUUUUUAAAUCACAUUUUCUGAGUCCACGAGCAUUUUGAAUUAUUAAACAUUUUAUUUCAAAAUUCUCAUUUUUUCGAAUUUUUUUAAUUACCAAAUUAUUUAAAUUAGAAAAAACAAAGACAGAAAAUAAAAGGGAAAAUAAAAUACGAAAACUAAAAAACAGGCCAUCCGGACAUGGGCCAGCCCGAACAGGCGAUGUUUCUUUUCCCAGCGCGCAGAGCACAAUAUAAAAGGUUACUACGGGGCCGGCCCAUGCAGAGAUUCCCCUUUGUGAAACGUUUUUAUUAUUUAUAGAUGACAUCGGUGGGUAAUAUUUUGCAACUUUUGGAGCAAUUUCAAUGACGACAACCAGAAGCACUCAGUGCUUUAUUAUUAAAAAAAUUAAAAAAUGUGCCUGUGCGUUGCUAAGCCACACUCUCACUCAAGCUACGCCUCCUCCAGCUACUACACUCAGGUGGAAGAAAUGUGGUUGGAUAGGGAGGAGUGGUCCGAGAAGCUUGAAAGAGUGCAUUUUUUUAUUACUGCUAGUCCUGAAUGAUGCAAAAUUUGUGAUAUUCCUUAUCAAAUCACAGUGACUUAAGACUAAGGAAAGAAACCCAUUGGUUGGAGCUACUACAAAUUCACACCCUCGAUGUGAACCCGUUUUAGGUAGGAAAAACAACCAAGUUCUGGAACAUGUAAACAAAAAAUGAUGUUGCUGACCACAUUUGACGUACGGUAUAUGUGUGAAGGCAAUUCUUUAUGCCGAAAUAUGUUGUGGAUCCUGCAUUAUUAUGGUUAUAUAUUUUACGGCACAAUGGAUCAACAUCUCACAAUAUUCCUUAUUUUCAGUAUAAAACCUUCAUUGCCCAACACAGGACCCGAUACGUAGUACUAACAAUAUCCACAAUAACUGACUUGCAUUUAUUUUGGAUUGAGUUGCACAAGUCAACCAAUGUGUCAUCUCAGAACCCAGAAACAUGAAGGCUGAAACCACACCAUCACCUCUUCUAAUAAGCAAUCCAUACAAAAUGUGUGCCCUGGCAAGCUCCAAAAGACAUUAUAUUUGGUUAAGGACACAAACAGCACCAAAGCCAACUUCAGAGGAAAAAACAGAACCAAACCCAAUGGUGCAUGUACAUUGUAAACUGAUAUGCAUAAACUAACACACUUGAAUAGAUUUAGCAUGGUUACUACACUCCCAACUUUUUCAUGGUUACCUAGCAUAGCAAAUGAAAUUAGUGCCUCAAACCUAGUAGGUAGUCUUCAACUUCUGUCAUCAAAUAAUAUCUAAACUCCGCCCGUGAGUAAAUUAAAUGUUGUCACUACCACAGGGAUACGUCCAACAUCAAAGAGUUUCUUUUUCACUUUCCAAAUCAAAAGCAACAUAUACUCGGUAAUUCAGUUCAACAAUAACAGUAAUUUAUGAUUUCCUACAGUUUAGAAAAAGCUCACAUAUCUAUCUUGUGUGAAGAAAUAGCUCUUCCAAAUUGAGUAGUGGCCUGAAUACUGAAUUAUUAUUUUUGCUUUUCAGAGCUGGUAACUUGCUAACUUUCCCCUGUUGUCUAAUUUCUGGACACAUUAGCCUAAUGGCAAUAAUAUAGAUAGAGUGACUUUGCUUCAGUUAAUACAUGCCUCUACUUCUAGUUCUAGUUGGUAUAGUUGAUUUCCAAAGAUCCUAGGCGAGGAGGCAAUAUCUUUUAGAUAUAGUCAAGAACAUAAUCGAACAGGCUCGCUAAAUUCAUUUCACAAUUAUGCAUAAGGAAUCCUUGUUAAAUAUACUUGUCUCUGCAUCCGGAGUGGGUGAUACAGAUUAAGUACAAUAAAAACAUGUUUAUGCACCCGGAGUCCUUGGUCCUUAUAAGAACUUUAGUUCAGAAUAAUUCAGUGAAAUGACCGUAAAUCUUCUGAAAGUAACGAUAUAAAUAAGGGAUAUGAAUAGGGAAACAAGCAUAUACACUGAUUUUGAAUGGAUAUAACUCUUCAAAAGUAAGUAAUUGCUUAAAUACUGAAGAAAAAAAUUAUUCUUUCAAAGCUGGUGACUUGCUAACUUCCCUCUCAUCCUGCUACCAGUCAAUAGACUACGUAAAAGAAAAUAAAAGAAACAACAGGACCGCACUUACUACAUAUACAUUAUACCUCUAGACAUGUACUAAAGAUGCAACCAAAUUGCAGCACAUUUUUCUGCUCUGGUUCAAGCUGCAUGUUUCCUACGUCCUACCUCAGCCAAAGAAACAACUUCAACUCAAUUCUAGGUAGCUGCAUUGCCUAUGUCUGAAACCCAACAUACGAUUGAUAUUCCCAGCUGCAUUGUCUAUGUCUAAAACCCAGCAUACAAUUGCCUUAUGUGCUAGAUUCUCAAGAGAAGUUUUAUUGUCGCUUCUGCAGAAAGUAGAAGCAUUAUUACAUAAAUAAUAAUGCUCUAGUAGUGCAGAACUGGAUUGCAUAAUAAGUUGUGGUACAUUGGGCAACAGAGAAGCUAUGCAUUGGGUAUUAAUUAUCUUCUGAAACUGUAGUACAUACCUCAGGUGAAGCAUGGUCAGACGGAGUUCCGGUGAAGGGUGGAGCACGAGCGGAUAGUGUUCCUGCUAAGUCGGCGGAACGACGAGAUUGGAUGGAUACCGCCUGUGACCCGGUCAUUCAGCAGUAUCUAGGGGCCACUUUAGGGACUUCGUCAUGCACAACUGCGUCUCCAUCGAUCCCUGCCCCAAUGAACACCUUGCCGGAUGCCAGAGUUCCACACCAAUGAACACCUUGCCAGAUGCAUGCCUAUACAGAGGGAGUACACGUGAAAGAACAUUAAUUCCAUGUAGUAAUACUGCUUAUGUGAACUAAUUAUGGUAAACAAAAUUUCAGCUAAAAUAAAGAAAGAUUGAAAACAGUUUAAAUAAGUUUUCGAAUAUUUUAGUUAUUCAUACAAACAUCUUCAUGAAAUAUGGCUGACAACCUCCAUAUCAACAAACAUGCAAUUACAGAUAGUUACAACUAAACUUGUCUGUCGUUGUCUUACUUCAAAGUAGGUGAGUACCUUGUCCAGCAGUGGCCUGAGCUUGGACAAUUCAUAUCAUUGCACAUAUAUUUUUCCUACAUGUAUUAUGACAAUUUGUUCAGAAAAGCAGGUUAACUAAGAAAAGAUGAAUAUAUAAAGAUUUAUAUAUUAGAUCUGACAUCAUAAAUCUCCAAACAAUUUUGUGCUCCCACUCUCUGCCAGCAUUACAGAAGAUGAGAAACUCUAGGCAAUUUCCAUGGAAAUUUACCACAUAUCAUGGAACUGGUAUAUUAUAUCAUACCAUGGUACACAAUAUUUCUUCUUUAUCCUUUUUGUAAUUCAAGCUUCAAAGAAAUAGCCAAUGAAAAGGUACUGAAAAUGUCAAAACAUUGGGCAAGAUUCGUGAGAAUGUCUGCUAGUAUAACAAUAAAAUAGACAGAUAAAUAACCAAGCAAUAAGUAGAUGGUAAGAAACUAAGCAUGGAUGUCAUUUUGAACCAAGCCUGAAGCUCUGUCUUAUGGAUUGAUAACAAUGGUGAGUGAACCAUGGAAAGCAACUCAAUUUCCUUCUUGUUUUCAGCUUGCUUGUACAUCUAUUUUUGUUCUCCCCUGUGGUCAUCGAGUAAAAUCAACAUGCCACAUAUAUCAAUAUUUUUGUUCAUGUUAUCUACGGAGUAAAUUCUGAGCAGAACGGGCUAGCAGCACUGUACUUACUAUAUACCAACAAUUUACUCGAAAGUAGCUGCUACCAAAAAUAUAUACUGGUAAGCGACUGCUAUACAUGUGAUUGCAGAGAUGUUCCUCCAACCUGUACUGAUCAGAGAUUCUGAAGCAGAGCCAGCAUAGCAGACGGUCGAAGCCUACAACAGCAAUGCGUGGGUGAGGUCGGGACCGUCGGGCUCGCCGUCGCUGCUGCUGCGCGAGUCUCCACCUCCAUCGCCGCUCUCGAGGAAGUCGUUGACGAGCAUGGCAGGUCCAUGUCGCUCUCGUGGCUGCCGUGGUGGCUCUGGCCCCUACCCUCCAUGCAUCCAAAGCCAGAGCUCGCCUCUCUGGCCGCUCU